CUCAUUAAAUCAGUUAUAGUUUAUUUGAUGGUCUCUUUGUUCUUCUUUUUACCUACUUGGAUAACCGUGGUAAUUCUAGAGCUAAUACAUGCACAAGGUCCCGAGCGUGGAGAGUAGUACUUCAUGGUUCUAUUCUUGCAUGUGUAGAGGGAUGUAUUUAUUAGGUUAAACAACCAGCAUUUUUUCAUUUCUGGUGAUUCAUAGUAACUCUUUCAGAUUGCAUUCAUG
rnacentral:rRNA from 1 species